AUUGAACGCUGGCGGCAUGCCUUACACAUGCAAGUCGAACGGCAGCACGGGAGCAAUCCUGGUGGCGAGUGGCGAACGGGUGAGUAAUAUAUCGGAACGUGCCCGGUCGUGGGGAUAACGUAGCGAAAGCUACGCUAAUACCGCAUACGAUCUAUGGAUGAAAGCGGGGGAUCGCAAGACCUCGCGCGAUUGGAGCGGCCGAUAUCAGAUUAGGUAGUUGGUGAGGUAAAGGCUCACCAAGCCGACGAUCUGUAGCUGGUCUGAGAGGACGACCAGCCACACUGGGACUGAGACACGGCCCAGACUCCUACGGGAGGCAGCAGUGGGGAAUUUUGGACAAUGGGCGCAAGCCUGAUCCAGCAAUGCCGCGUGCAGGAUGAAGGCCUUC
rnacentral:rRNA from 1 species